rnacentral:rRNA from 1 species
AUUGAACGCUGGCGGCAGGCCUAACACAUGCAAGUCGAGCGGAUGAAGGGAGCUUGCUCCUGGAUUCAGCGGCGGACGGGUGAGUAAUGCCUAGGAAUCUGCCUGGUAGUGGGGGAUAACGUCCGGAAACGGGCGCUAAUACCGCAUACGUCCUGAGGGAGAAAGUGGGGGAUCUUCGGACCUCACGCUAUCAGAUGAGCCUAGGUCGGAUUAGCUAGUUGGUGGGGUAAAGGCCUACCAAGGCGACGAUCCGUAACUGGUCUGAGAGGAUGAUCAGUCACACUGGAACUGAGACAGGGUCAAGACUCCUACGGGAGGCAGCAGUGGGGAAUAUUGGACAAUGGGCGAAAGCCUGAUGCAGCCAUGCCGCGUGUGUGAAGAAGGUCUUCGGAUUGUAAAGCACUUUAAGUUGGGAGGAAGGGCAGUAAGUUAAUACCUUGCUGUUUUGACGUUACCAACAGAAUAAGCACCGGCUAACUUCGUG